rnacentral:tRNA from 2 species
GGGCCUUUAGCUCAGCUGGUAGAGCAACUGGUUUACACCCAGUAGGUCGUCGGUUCGAUCCCGGCAGGGCCCA